rnacentral:rRNA from 1 species
GAUGAACGCUGGCGGCGGGCCUAAUACAUGCAAGUUGAGCGGUGGAGGUUGGUACGUGUCUCGACUGGGUGGCCAGCGGACGGGUGAGUAAUGCGAGGGGGAUUUGUCUUGGGGCGGGGGGCAAGAUAUGGAGACGAAUGCUCAUACAGCAUAAAAACUUUAAACACAAGUUUUAAGGUUGAAAGCGGCAAUUGCUGCACCCAGAGAUGAUCAGGGGUUGUAUUAGGUAGUUGGUGAGGAAAAGGCUCACCAAGGCGAUGAUACAUAGCCGACCGGAGAGGGAGAGCGGCCACACUGGGACUGAGACACGGCCCAAGCUCCUACUGGAGGCAGCAGUAGGGAAUCUUCGGCAAUGGACGAAAGUCUGACCGAGCAACGCCGCGUGAGUGAAGAAGGUUGUCGGAUCGUAAAACUCUGUUGUUAGUGAAGAACGUUGGUGAGAGUGGAAAGCUCAGCAAGUGACGGUAACUAACCAGAAAGGGACGGCUAACUACGUG